rnacentral:rRNA from 1 species
GGAAGGAUCAUUCAUAAUAAGUGUUUUAUGGCACUUUUUUAAAUCCAUAUCCACCUUGUGUGCAAUGUCAGGGUUGGUUUCUCUCUUUUGAGAGAUCAACCCCAAACAUCAACUCUAUCUUAACUCUUUGUCUGAAAAAUAUUAUGAAUAAAACAAUUCAAAAUACAACUUUCAACAACGGAUCUCUUGGCUCUCGCAUCGAUGAAGAACGCAGCGAAAUGCGAUACGUAAUGUGAAUUGCAGAAUUCAGUGAAUCAUCGAAUCUUUGAACGCAUAUUGCGCUCUUUGGUAUUCCGAAGAGCAUGCUUGUUUGAGUAUCAGUAAACACCUCAAAGCCUUUUUUCUUUUUUGAAGAAAGGCUUUGGACUUGAGCAAUCCCAACACCAAUCUUUUAAAGAGAGGGGGCGGGUUGCUUGAAAUGCAGGUGCAGCUGGACAUUCUCCUGAGCUAAAAGCAUAUUCAUUUAGUCCCGUCAAACGGAUUAUUACUUUUGCUGCAGCUAAUAUAAAGGGAGUUUGACCAUUUUGGCUGACUGAUGCAGGAUUUUCACAAGAGUCUUCAAAACCUCUUGUUAAACUCGAUCUCAAAUCAAGUAAGACUACCCGCUGAACUUAAGCAUAUCAAUAA